UUCCCUCCGAAGUUUCCCUCAGGAUAGCUGGAGUUCAUACAUGCAGUUUUAUCAGGUAAAGCGAAUGAUUAGCGGUCUUAGGGUCCAAAUGACCUUAACCUAUUCUCAAACUUUAAAUUGGUAAGAAUUGUGACUUGCUUAAUAAUUAUUUGAAGCCAGACACUCGAAUGCGAGCUCUUAGUGGGCCAUUUUUGGUAAGCAGAAUGCGGGAUGAACUGAACGCCGAGUUAAGGUGCCAAAGUCUACGCUCAUCAGAUCCCACAAAAGGUGUUAGUUGAUAUUGACAGCAGGACGGUGGCCAUGGAAGUCGCAAUCCGCUAAGGAGUGUGUAAACAACUCACCUGCCGAAUCAACUAGCUCUGAAAAUGGAUGGCCCUCAGGCGUCGCACCUAUACUCGGCCGUCGGAACAAGUGCGACGUUCCAACGAGUAGGAGGGCGCGGCGGUCGUGACGCAGCCUUUGGCGCGAGCCAGGGUGAAACGGCCGCCGGUG